CAGGACGAACGCUGGCGGCGUGCCUAACACAUGCAAGUCGAGCGAUGAAAUCCUUCGGGAUGGAUUAGCGGCGGACGGGUGAGUAACACGUGGGUAACCUGCCUUGUAGAGGGGGAUAGCCUUCCGAAAGGAAGAUUAAUACCGCAUAACAUCUUUUUUAUCGCAUGGUAGAAAGAUCAAAGGAGCAAUCUGCUACAAGAUGGACCCGCGGCGCAUUAGCUAGUUGGUGAGGUAACGGCUCACCAAGGCGACGAUGCGUAGCCGACCUGAGAGGGUGAUCGGCCACAUUGGAACUGAGACACGGUCCAGACUCCUACGGGAGGCAGCAGUGGGGAAUAUUGCGCAAUAGGGGGGAAACCCUGACGCAGCAACGCCGCGUGAAUGAAGAAGGCCUUAGGGUUGUAAAGUUCUGUUUACGGGGACGAUAAUGACGGUACCCGUGGAGGAAGCCACGGCUAACUACGUGCCAGCCGCCGC
rnacentral:rRNA from 1 species